UGUGUUCCUGAGCCUUGUACACACCGCCCGUCAAGCCACGAAAGAGAGGAGCGCCCGAAGUCGCGUUAAAGUGCCGAAGGCGAAACUCUUGAUUGGGACU
rnacentral:rRNA from 1 species